rnacentral:siRNA from 1 species
UCAACAUUUGUGGUGGUUGUGGCU